UACGUAGGGUGCAAGCGUUGUCCGGAAUUAUUGGGCGUAAAGAGCUCGUAGGCGGCUUGUCGCGUCGGCUGUGAAAUCCCGUGGCUCAACUGCGGGUCUGCAGCCGAUACGGGCAGGCUAGAGUUCGGUAGGGGAGACUGGAAUUCCUGGUGUAGCGGUGAAAUGCGCAGAUAUCGGGAGGAACACCAGUGGCGAAGGCGGCGCUCUGGGCCGGAACUGACGCUGAGGAGCGAAAGCGUGGGUAGCAAACAGG
rnacentral:rRNA from 1 species